rnacentral:lncRNA from 1 species
UGAUAUUUUUGACUGAAUUUAAUUAAUGAUAGAUCAUAUAAACUGAUAUAAGGUUGUCCUACUGUAAGGUUUAUCCCUUACAGUGAAAAAGUUGUCUUAGUUUGUGCUGAUUUUUGAUAAAAUUUAUUUUUUUAUAUUAUAUGUGAUAUUUAUGAUCUGAUUUAGAUGUGAUUUAAGAUUAUGAUCGGAUCUAAUAUAAUUU